GUGUCAGCCGCCGCGGUAAUACGGAGGGUGCGAGCGUUGUUCGGAAUCACUGGGCUUAAAGGGCGUGUAGGCGGGUCUGUAAGUGUCGGGUGAAAGCCCUCGGCUCAACCGAGGAACGGCCCGGCAAACUGCAGGUCUUGAGGUAGGUAGAGGUGACUGGAACGACUGGUGGAGCGGUGAAAUGCGUAGAUAUCAGUUGGAACGCCGGAGGCGAAAGCGGGUCACUGGGCCUAUCCUGACGCUGAGACGCGAAAGCGUGGGUAGCGAAGAGGAUUAGAAACCCCCGUAGUCC
rnacentral:rRNA from 1 species